rnacentral:rRNA from 14 species
ACUGACGCUAAUACCGCAUACGUCCACAGCGAUCAAGGUCGCAGUGGAGAAAGAUUUAUCGCUCCAGGAUGAGCCUGCGGUCCAUUAGCUUUAAUCGUGGGGUAAUGGCCUACGAUAGCUUCGAUGGAUAGCCGGCCUGAGAGGGUGAUCGGCCACACUGGAACUGACACACGGUCCAGACUCCUACGGGAGGCAGCAGUAGGGAAUCUUAGGCAAUGGGCGAAAGCCUGACCUAGCGAUGCCGCGUGUGCGAAGAAGGCCUUAGGGUUGUAAAGCACUUUCAGUCGUGAAGAAAAACUUAAAGUUAAUAGCUAUGAGUCUUGACGUUAACGACAGAAGAAGAUCCGGCUAACUCCGUGCCAGCAGCCGCGGUAAUAC